ensembl:misc_RNA 7SK 7SK RNA
GGGCGAGGGCUAAGUGUGGUUCUGACAUCUCUCACUUCAUCCAUUUCCAGGCUGACCUGGCUGACUAGAUGGGAGUCCCUACCUCCCUCUCCUUUUCAUGUAUGUCCUUCUUGAAGCUACAUAGUUUUUUUUAAAAAACAACAACAGAGAAGCACUUUUCUUUGGUUAGACACAAGGAUCUGUCCUUCUUGCUAAACUGUCAAACAAGCUCCCUGUGUUAGUGAGGUCUGCACAUAGGAUGAGGCCAGACCAAGAAGUUGGAUGACAAAGCAGAUUCCAGGGGCUAGAACUC